UUCGGGAAACCCUACCUGCCAGUCUCGUCUGAAUGCGAUGGAUGUGGUGAGCGUGCUGCACAGGGGAUUUUGUGAUCUCUGGAAUACAAGACUCUUGGAGACUGACGAGUUUCGCUGGCUGGAGAGGUGGCUGGAGCUGCGGGCGGCCAGCAAGCCACCAAACCAGCUGGUUUUUUUCACGGCUGGGAAGGGCCCAUGCUAAAACUUCUUGCACCACCUGCAGGUAGCGUGGGCGGAGAUGGGCCUUAAAAGGUCCCCCCAACUUCACCGACCUGAGGACGGCUGUGUUUGCUCAUGCCAAGAACAACCUGCCUGCCGAGCAGC